GAUCCUGGCUCAGGAUGAACGCUGGCUACAGGCCUAANACAUGCAAGUCGAGGGGCAGCAUGGUCUUAGCUUGCUAAGGCCGAUGGCGACCGGCGCACGGGUGAGUAACACGUAUCCAACCUGCCGUCUACUCUUGGACAGCCUUCUGAAAGGAAGAUUAAUACAAGAUGGCAUCAUGAGUCCGCAUGUUCACGUGAUUAAAGGUAUUCCGGUAGACGAUGGGG
rnacentral:rRNA from 1 species